GACGAACGCUGGCGGCGUGCUUAACACAUGCAAGUCGAACGGCAAGGCCCUGCUUUUGUGGGGUGCUCGAUUGGCGAACGGGUGCGUAACACGUGAGUAACCUGCUCUUGACUUUGGGAUAACUUCAGGAAACUGGGGCUACUACCGUAUAGGAGCUCCUGCUGCAUGGUGGGGGUUGGAAAGUUUCGGCUGUUGGGGAUGGACUCGCGGCUUAUCAGCUUGUUGGUGGGGUAGUGGCUUACCAAGGCUUUGACGGGUAGCCGGCCUGAGAGGGUGACCGGCCACAUUGGGACUGAGAUACGGACCAGACUCCUACGGGAGGCAGCAGUGGGGAAUAUUGCACAAUGGGCGGAAGCCUGAUGCAGCAACGCCGCGUGCGGGAUGACGGCCUUCGGGGUGUAAACCGCUUUCGCCUGUGACGAAGCGUGAGUGACGGUAAUGGGUAAAGAAGCACCGGCUAACUACGUG
rnacentral:rRNA from 1 species